UGGGUUGUGGCUCAGCGGUAGAGCGCUUGCCUAGCACGUAUGAGGCCCUGGGUUCAAUCCUCAGCAUCACAU
rnacentral:tRNA from 1 species